rnacentral:lncRNA from 1 species
UUGAAUAUUGUGAAAUAGUCGAUACCAUUUAAUUUGGCUAGACUAUAUGCAUGUUUAUAAAACUGUCCAAACCAAUUGAUUGGUGCGGAAAUCUUGAAAACUGAGUUGAACAACCCUUAUGGUAAGGGGAGUGUAUGUUGUUGAAAAUCCCAACACAUGAAUGGAUAUUAUUGUGGUGUUAUGCAUAACUUAGAGUAUUGUAGACUGAUCAUCUAUAGUACUCUAUUCUUUUGGGUUAUCAGUUUAAUAUUGGUAACUCUAGUAGAUGUUCAAUAGUCCUUAGUGACUACUCAGUAUAAAUUGUUUAUCCAGUUGGAUACAUUGAUAGUCUUUGAAUUCAUAUAUAUUUGUUGAUUUAUAUUGAAUUAUCAUUCUUAUUCCAAGAAUUGUUGAUAUUCACUAUUCA